AUCCCCACUGUGUGGAAGGCGCCGGUGCCCCUAAAAAUCAAGAUCUUCGUUUGGCAGUUUCUUCGUGAUCGUCUGCCCUCAGGGACCGAUGUUCUGAAACGUCACGGCCCAGGUGACGGUCAGUGCCCCCCUUGUCAUGUCUUGGAGACGGGAACCCACAUCAUGUUCUCGUGCAUAGUGGCGCGGGCUCUUUGGAGCUUCGUCCGCGAGGCACUAGGAUAUGAGCGGGAGGCACGGACCUUGCACAGUUCCUGCAGGCCAGAACGACACAGGUGGGCCGCAAGCACCGCCUUUUCUGGCUUAUGCGGUGAUGACGUGGACCUUUGGACGACGCGUAAUAAGAUGGUGAUUGAGCGGAUCUUCCUGAGACGGGCCUCUGACUCGUUCUUCAAAUUUCUUGCCUUCUUGCAGUUUUGGCACCCACUUGCUAGACAGCGGUAUCGUGACCACCUGGGGGUGAUGUUGGACAAGCUUAUGGCUUCCGCGCGCUGCCUGUCGGCUUCUUAG
rnacentral:rRNA from 1 species